CGGACGGACGGACGGACUAGCAUAGAUCUGUGCGAAAAAUGAUUCUAUUUUAAAGUGGAUCUACCUCCAGGUCUUAUGGUCAUACAUCCCUACAAUUGUAAGCAUGUAAGACCGGUUCGGAACCAUAUCCAUUCAGGGUGCUUGUGCAUGGUAUGGUUCUUCUUUCGUAGAGUCAUUUGCCUGGUAGAUUCCGAUAACGAAUGAGACUCAAUUAUAUUACAAAGAUGUUUACUAGAUUAUGGUGUUGAAAAUUUUCCUUGCCUUCAUUUACGAGUAAAAUGUAUGAGUGUUUGAAUGUAUUCAUAAAAGUGGCGGUUUACAGGACAUUAGCUUCUUAAAUAUCUCGAAUUGCUGCCAGCGCUAAUGAGAUUGAGCAAUAGCAUGUAUGUGGGGCCUUUAGACAUCCUGGGAUGCAAGCGCGCUACAGUGGAAGUAUCGACCUGUAGGUUAUAAAUAUACUCUCCACAGGAUUUUUAGCUAAAAAAAACAAAAUAAAC
rnacentral:ncRNA from 1 species